ACAUUUUCGAUAUCCGUCAACCCGUUAACGUGAUAUUCCACUUUUAAGUUUUCAUAUAUGGGGAGAAAAGUGGAGUACUAACAAAACGCUGCACGCCGAGCCACCACACAAACAAUAUUAACACUCCACGUUCUCCUCCUACUUAAACUUAAAAGUGGAAUAUCUCAAUAACGGGUUGGCGGAAAUCAGAAAUGU